ACUGCAGUAGUGAAAAUGAAGCGCACGAUGGGCGGAAGCUGUGAGUCCGGCAAAGUUUUAAAAUGAUGACGUAUUUUAUUAACUCUAACGGCACUGGCGGGUGACUGAAAAUACUAGUGCUGUGUAUGCGGGAUAGACAUUAUUUUCCUGCCCUACAUGAGGGGCUCGUGCGCGGAACGACAUGGGCAGCCCCGGCGGAAACUGCAGGCACAAGCCGGGACGCCGCGGGUUUAAAACAUGCGCGUGAGAGGAAGACAAACAUAAAGAUGAAGUGCUUAAUUCAAGGUCACACAAUGUCGGGGAUGGACCUCCAGAUUUCCUUACUGGUGAGACGUGGUCUUGUAACACAGUGGUUAAGAAUGUGACUUUGGAGCCAGCCUGCUAGGGGCUGAAUUCUGACUCAGCCAUUUACUAACUGUGUGACCUUAGGGAGGAGGACCUGGUUGAUAGAAGAAUUUAUCUCGUAGUCUUAACAUCCACUGUAAUUCCAAACUUUGAGGACGAUAGAGAUCAGUGGGCUUUGACUGCCCAGCAUGCAGUCUCCAUUCUUAGGUCACAGAAUUUUCCACA
rnacentral:lncRNA from 10 species